GUCUGAACACGCAUGCAUAAACCAGAAGAGUGCAAGAGUGCGCUCUUGUAGCAGGUUUUAGCCAAGAGUGUGUAAAGGUUGCCUGAAAUCACCUUUGUACAUGGCUAAUGAGAAUAUUAUAUAUGAUUUUGAUAUGUAUGUAUUUUCUCAUGUCAUGUUUGUAAAUUUGUAAUCAGCUGACGGUAAUGAACCUGAGUUACGGGAACAUGUGACUUUGAUUGAGAGGACUUUAAAUAUGAAGGUGGGGGCGUGAGCCCAAGAGAGUUUUUCCGUUUAACUGUAUGGAGUUGGAGAGAAACGUGUGGCGAUUAAAGAGAAACCAAGUGUGGAUUAUACCCUGCCUCAUUGGCUUUGGAUGCCGUCUUUCCAAACGGCGGAUCACUUACCAAAGCAGUUGGAAUAUCCAGAGUAUCGUAUAGGCUCUCUAUCGAGUGAAGUGGUGAGAUUGCGCUACCCAGGCUGUGUGGAGCGGCCUCUCAUCACACUGUAAGACGUUGAAAUCUCUCUCUCUCUGCACCAGACAAU
ensembl:lncRNA